CGCGUAGGCGGUUUUUUAAGUCUGAUGCGAAAGCCCACGGCUCAACCGUGGAGGGUCAUUGGAAACUGGAAAACUUGAGUGCAGAAGAGGAAAGUGGAAUUCCAUGUGUAGCGGUGAGAUGCGCAGAGAUAUGGAGGAACACCAGUGGCGAAGGCGGCUUACUGGUCCAUUACUGACGCUGAGGUGCGAAAGCGUGGGGAGCAAACA
rnacentral:rRNA from 1 species